GUAGAUGGUAGUAGAGGUAGAUGGUAGUAGAGGGUAGAUGGUAGUAGAGGUAGAUGGUAGUAGAGGGUAGAUGGUAGUAGAGGGAGAUGGUAGUAGAGGGUAGAUGGUAGUAGAGGGUAGAUGGUAGUAGAGGGUAGAUGGUAGUAGAGGUAGAUGGUAGUAGAGUAGAGGUAGAUGGUAGUAGAGUAGAGGUAGAUGGUAGUAGAGUAGAGGUAGAUGGUAGUAGAGGUAGAUGGUAGUAGAGGGUAGAUGGUAGUAGAGGGUAGAUGGUAGUAGAGGUAGAUGGUAGUAGAGGUAGAUGGUAGUAGAGGGUAGAUGGUAGUAGAGGGUAGAUGGUAGUAGAGGUAGAUGGUAGUAGAGGGUAGAUGGUAGUAGAGGUAGAUGGUAGUAGAGGUAGAUGGUAGUAGAGGGUAGAUGGUAGUAGAGGUAGAUGGUAGUAGAGGGUAGAUGGUAGUAGAGGUAGAUGGUAGUAGAGGGUAGAUGGUAGUAGAGGUAGAUGGUAGUAGAGGUAGAUGGUAGUAGAGGGUAGAUGGUAG
ensembl:lncRNA